AUAUUUUGGUUCUCGGUAGGCUACGACAAGACUGCUUGUACGUGGCUAAAAUCAAUGUAUGGCGGUGGCCACUUUCCCAUUGUAUAGGCCGAAUAGCCAUAAUUAGAGAUUUAUCUUUUUUGGUGUGCGGUAAAAGCUAUUAACCUACUUACCAUAUUUUGGUAAAAUUAAUUACGUCACAUUAGUGUUAGAUACGUCUUCAUAGGACAAAUUGUCCCAAAUCAGCUCGGCAAAAAUACAAUUGUAACUGGAUGAGUUGCCAAAGCAUGUUUUCAUAAUUUCUGGACAUAUGAUUUUUGAGCCUAACACUGAAUAUUCCAGUUAAAACGAGUACUCACGACUGACAGCUGUCCAGCAAUUUGUCGUUGCCAAUAGCAAACGUGACGCUUAUCAACUAGGGUGAAGCAGUAAAAAACCUUUAUAGAAGAAUCCAGUAAUUACGCAUACGCAUGGAUAAUCCUAGCAACUUUGUUGUUUCUGCAAGUACUCGCCAUUAGCAAAACGAGAACAGCCAGAAACAAUAUGUCUAAUAGUCUCUCCCGGACGGUGGCAUGCCCGACAAAUGUCGACCGUCCCAUCCUUUUAUUAUACAUAGUUAUUAUAUAUUAAUUUUUAUAGUAUUUUAUUUAAGUUUAUUUUUAAUAUCAAAUCGUCUAUAUAAUGUAUUUUUAGUUCAAAAAAUGGAUAGUAGAAGAUAGAAAAUGGGUCUCCAAAAAUGUCAAUUAAUAGUUUUAAGCUCUUUUUUAUUAAUUUCUUCCAUCUAUAAACCUUAGAAAUCGCGCAUAAUACCUACGUAAAAUCAAGUUGAAAAGACCAAGUCUAUUAGAAUAGGUCAUUAAUUGCUAUUAACUAAUUAAAGAUAUGUAAAGUAUUUGCCAAGAGCAGAUUAAGUUCCAAGGACAUAACUAAUCAAAAGAUUUACCUACACCUUCCAAGGUCAAGGUAUUUCCCGUAACACAACACAAUUCUACAAAAACAAUAAAACGAGAGCGGAUUGAACGUAAACUCUAUAACAAUCUUUACAUCUGUAAAAAUAGGGCACAUUUUUGCUGAUUCUCCGUCUUUUCGAUUGGGCUCUUUUUACAUUGAAUGGUGCUGAACUCACCCGACCAGAGUCGCAGUUUUCUUUUUGUUGUGUCUUCGUCGUUCAUGCACAGCCUCACGAUGUCGAACAAAGCGAGGCAAGUCAAGAACAUCAGUAAACAAUAUAUUAUUAUUUGCAACAUGACUGCACACGAGUUUGCUGUGUAAGCUCGAAUGGCGGACUAGCGUGAUACAGUGAGACCUGCUUGCGUUGCGACGACAAAGUUUAGACGUUCGUCUUUUAUGAUGUUAUUAAUCCGUAUGCAGACGUGUCGGACCGCCUGCCGCUGAAGUAGUUCUUGUUACCUGGAACCUCUGUAGAUUCGAUUGCAUUUUCAGAGAUUAUUUUGGAACGAAGUUCCUUAUGGGACGAUGCGGAGGGGAACCCUAAUCGGGGAAAAACGUCCGUAACGUAAGAUUUUUAUUAUUUAUGUAUAGUCUUAGUAUGAUGGCUAUACAGUGUCUAAUGUAUAGUCUACGUGAUGACGGUUAUUAUUACUAUUCAUAUAAAUAGCUGUUUCUUUGUAUAUUAGUAUUAUAUAUUUUUUAUAAAUCAUUGUGAAUAAAAUGAAGUUGAUAACUUUGUAAAGUA